rnacentral:lncRNA from 1 species
AGAAACCCAUUUGGUUUAGCCAUAGUUUUCUAAUUUUUGAUGGAACUCUAGUUUCUAUGUAGCUUUUGUGAGUGAUGGAGAAAGGAUUAUUACAGAAGGCAAAUUAUCAAAUUACCCAGGCUAGAAUUUCCCUGCAAAAUUUUCAGAAUGUAAAAGCGAGAAAAAGAGCAUGAGGCGAAUUCAAAAUAUUUCAAGCACAAGGUCCUACAUAAUUUAAUACAGGCAUAACUUGUAACAGAUUUUUUGUGCAAAUGAUAAUCGGAAGCACCUAUGAAAAAAUUUGAUGCAAAGAAUUCCUCAUUUGCGGAAGUAUUGCCUAGAGAACACCAACGGUCUACCCAGCAAUAUAUGUUUUUUAUUUUCUCGCAUCAACAUAGUCUGUUCUUAAAGCACCAAAAGAGGCAAUCUCCUAUAACUACGUAUAUUUUCUAAUAUCUUACAUUUACAAUCUUAUAACUAUUCUAUGAAACUGAACCAAAAAGCACAUCAAGUUUAUCCAUACAAGAAUCAAAUUUCACAUGGGACUUCAUACAGCAACUUUUCCAAUUUGCCGGUAUUUACUCCGAUCAAAAAAGCUUCUGUCAUUCAAUUUAUCAAACAUAUCAAUCGCACUUGACCUACUUUGUUUCCUAGAUCGGAAUUUAUAAUUGUCUUUCAGACUUCCAUAAUCAUAGGCACAGUUUGAAAUCACUACAUAAACACUUUAGCCUUCAGUGAAUUCAAUGUAAACACCCUACCGAAUCAUAUUGUCAGCACUACCCAGUAUUAAAAACAGACAUGAAAAAGUAUGAUGUCUCUCGAUGAAAUUCAAAACAGAAGCUAAAGAUUUUCAUUUACAACUAAUUUUUUUCAUCUUUACCAUUAAAGCAAGAAAAAAUUAAAAGGAACUUUUUAGAGGAAUUGACUUCAUAUUUUUCAAAUUGUUCUACCAUGAUCACCGAUUCACCUAAAUUUUGCUAAAUAGUACAUCUUUCAAACUAAUUCUGACAAUCUACCAGCGAAAAUUGACGAUGUUAAUCUAAAUACAAUCUCAUUAAGUUUCAAAUAACAGAAAAAACUGUUAUAAACAAAACCCACAAAUAUUUGAAGAACGGUUGAGGAAAUUGGAAAACCCACCUAUGAAAUCAAAGUAUAGACAAUGAGAAAGUGAGCAGUUGAGGAAAUGCAUAGCGUUUUACUGAGAGAGGAGGAGGGAUA